rnacentral:rRNA from 1 species
CCUACGGGUGGCUGCAGUGGGGAAUAUUGGACAAUGGAGGAAACCCUGAUGCAGCGACGCCGCGUGAGGGAUGAAGUAAUUCGUAUUGUAAAGCUCUAUCGCCAGGGAUGAAAAAUACGGUUCCCUCGUAAGAACCCCCGGGCAAACUACGUGCCAGCAGCCGCGGCAAACCGGGGGGGGCGGGCGUUGUCCGGAAUGACUGGGCGUAAAGGGAGGGUAGGCGGGAUGUAAAGUUGUGUGUGAAAGCCCGCGGCUCAACCGCGGAAUUGCACAGAAAACUGGUAGGCUGGAGUGCAGGAGAGGUAAGUGGAAUUCCCGGUGUAGCGGUGGAAUGCGUAGAUAUCGGGAGGAACACCAGAGGCGAAGGCGACUUACUGGACUGUAACUGACGCUGAGGCUCGAAAGCGUGGGGAGCAAACAGGAUUAGAUACCCGGGUAGUC